rnacentral:rRNA from 1 species
UUCGUGCCGUUCCGACCUCGUUUGAUACGGUUAUGGUUAACCACACGGCCCCUCGGGCCCGACCCGAGCCCAGUCAACGUUUUGACCCGAUCAAAUCGGCCCGUGACCCGAAACGACCCUACUUGGGCCCUACAACAGCCACGUAAAGUUUCGGGAUGAUCCGACGUUCUUUCAUGGGGUUACGGACAAUCCACGCCAAACAAGCGUCACGGGCCGACCGAGCCGGGCCAACGGGCCCUCGGGACCCGAAAACUGAAUUUUUUUUCAUCCAAACCCAUUAAAACACGUUACCGAGGUCUCACGCAAAAUUUCAUGCCAAUCCGACGUCGUUUGAUGGGGUUUUGAAAAAUUAUGAUUCCUCAAAAAUUUAAUGUCUGUUCCUGUCACUUAGCUUUUUGUGCAAAAUGUAUAUAUAGGGGAGGGGUGGGUGUUGAGCAGCCCAUGCCCGGGCAAGGCAUGCCAGCGCCCAAGCCAAAGGAGGCUGGUGGCGUGCGUAUAACAGCUCAAAUGCCCCAACGAUGACCGAGAACAAGCGCCCAUCUCCCCUCCUUCCCCCCCACCAAGCGCCCCUCCCCCCCCAUGUUGCCUGCCCACUCGCACAGCUACUCGUGAUUUCAUGCCCAGCGACUAGUGAAUGUGCCUCGACGACCAGCAAACCUCGAAAAUUAUGAUUCCUCGUAAAAUUAAUGUCUGUUCCUGUCACUUUACUUUUUGUGCAAAAUGUAUAUAUAGGGGAGACCAGGGGCUUGAGCAACCCCUGUGCCCAAGCAAGGGUCAGAUGGAAGCACACGAGACGCGAGGUUUAAAGCCUAUACAAGCAAGGCGUCUGUCUCCCCAAGCCCCAUUGCCUAUAAAACAAGCCCGAUGCCUUGUAAAUGCCCCACACGAUGCCUAUAAACGACAACGAUGUUUGCUAGUUAAUCGAUCGACGCCCCACACCUUGCAGCAUGUUGCCUAGUAAACAAGCCAUGCUGCCUUGGAAGCGCCCCACAUCAUGGCAUGUUGCCUAGCACGCUGCCCUUGUUUCCCGCACGGCGACCUGAAAGCGUGGCCUGACGACGUGCUUGCCUUCGAAAAUUAUGAUUCCUCAAAAAAUUAAUGUCUGUUCCUGUCACUUUACUUUUUGU